rnacentral:lncRNA from 10 species
AUGAACAAUGGUAAUCAGAUAUCCUAAAGUUAUCUUUAGGGCACUGGCAAAAUAGCAGCAAUGCCUGGUGGAAGCUGACUUUGUGCAUACACAUGAGAGCCCACAGAAAACUUCAAACUUCAUGGAAAUAAAACCUUCAGCUGCAGCUAAGAAUUUGGAGGUUACUGAAGGAGGUUACUUUUUCAAGAGCAGAAGUAAGGAUUCCACUGAAUUUGCUCACCAAAGAUAAGUCAGCAAAGAAAACUUACUGAAGAAUACAGGAACAUAAAUCUUAAGCAGGCUUACAUAAGGAAGGGAAGUGGUUGAAUCUGAGGUUGAAAUCUGGAUAUUCCAGUUUCAACAACGAGAUCUUAAAAUUGCAGCAUAUCAGCUCCUGCUUUCCAGACAAACUUCCUGGGUCUUGGGAAGAAGAAAGCCUCAGACUAAGAACUCUCUCUGGACUCAGACAGCCUGAAUUCAAAUCCCAUCUCUAUUCUUACUAGUCAUAUGAACACAGGAGAACCAUAUCCAUUCAGCUCACUUUGGACCACCUGUGGAGCCUGAUAACCAGGGAACAGAGAACCUGUUGAGAUCCAAAUUUGUGUGCCAGGUCACAAACUCAUCUGAAGCAGAUGCCACGUGUUACACUGUUAUGUCUCUCAGAGACUCCAGCACUUUGAAAGUAUUAGGCCUUGCUUAUUGAGAUGAAUAUUUUUUUCUAGGCAUGUCCCAAAGUUCUCAGCAUAGCUACAACCCUGAUUUUCACAGGAUUUUCAUUAAAAUUAGGUUCUAGAGCAUUACUUCCCUAA